rnacentral:hammerhead_ribozyme from 1 species
AUCCACCUGACGAGUCCCAAAUAAGACGAAACAUGCGUCCUGGAU